GCACGGAGUUAGCCGGUGCUUCUUCUGAAGGUAGUGUCAAAUUUCUCAGGUGUUAACUGAAAAAAUUUCUUCCCAACCGAAAGUGCUUUACAACCCGCAGGCCUUCUUCACACACGCGGCAUUGCUGGAUCAGGCUUGCGCCCAUUGUCCAAUAUUCCCCA
rnacentral:rRNA from 1 species